AAGUUGAGGUGCUCUCAAGAAGCUUUGUUCAAGGCCUUUCUCACCAUCAUUUCUUGUCAUCUCAUCCUAAGAUUACAACCCUAGCCUUGUGCUAGUAGUAGUCGUGUUUGCUGAGGAGAUUUGGGUUACGAGUACCGAAGACGCAAUACUGAAAUUAAGUAUGGAUCUGGCGGGCGUUGGAAUUUCAAGUCAUGAUUAAGUAUAAAGAUGUAAUCCAUGGUUUUUAGGUUUGGCCAGUGUGUCUUAAUUCUGGACGAGACACGGCUUCCAAACUUGGAUUACAACUAUUAUCUUUGACGAGUCCUUAGUAAACUUUUACACAAUUCAU